UACGUAGGGUGCAAGCGUUAUUCGGAAUUACUGGGCGUAAAGCGUGCGCAGGCGGCUUUGUAAGACAGAUGUGAAAUCCCCGGGCUUAACCUGGGAACUGCAUUUGUGACUGCAUGGCUGGAGUGCGGCAGAGGGGGAUGGAAUUCCGCGUGUAGCAGUGAAAUGCGUAGAUAUGCGGAGGAACACCGAUGGCGAAGGCAAUCCCCUGGGCCUGCACUGACGCUCAUGCACGAAAGCGUGGGGAGCAAACAGG
rnacentral:rRNA from 1 species